rnacentral:rRNA from 1 species
CCUACGGGAGGCAGCAGUGAGGAAUAUUGGUCAAUGGGCGCGAGCCUGAACCAGCCAAGUAGCGUGAAGGAUGACUGCCCUACGGGUUGUAAACUUCUUUUAUAAAGGAAUAAAGUGAGGCACGUGUGCCUUUUUGUAUGUACUUUAUGAAUAAGGAUCGGCUAACUCCGUGCCAGCAGCCGCGGUAAUACGGAGGAUCCGAGCGUUAUCCGGAUUUAUUGGGUUUAAAGGGAGCGUAGAUGGGUUGUUAAGUCAGUUGUGAAAGUUUGCGGCUCAACCGUAAAAUUGCAAUUGAUACGGGCAGCCUUGCGUACAGUUGCGGUCGGCGGACUUCGUGGUGUGGCGGUGCUCUGCUUCGAUAUCACGAAGCACUCCGAUUGC